GGGCCUUGCUCACUGAUUAAUGUUGUGGAAUAAUGCUAGAGUGUGAUACAUCAAAUCUUUUGUUUUUACAAAAUAAAAGAAAGGGCGGUGGACCCCUUAACCACAACUAAUAUCCUGCCAUCUGUCCACAAAUCUUUUUAUUAGUUUGACAAAUUGAAGCGAUGAACAUGCAAUAUUCUCAAUAAUACAAAAUCAUGAAUUCAUCAUCUUACAUAAGUAAAAAGCAGCAACCAUUAUGCAAUGCAUCGUCUCACACCUUAGCUUCUCUCUCUCGUCACGUACCACGUUCCUUUACUUGGCUGAUUUUGGGCCGUUGGAUUGGAAACUAAUCUUUUUUAUCAUUAAAUAUUAAACAAUUGUUAUAAAUUGAAUAAAAAAAAGAAAAUUUAAAUAAAGUUGAAAAUCAAAAUUUUUGGAUUUUGAUAAGCAAU
rnacentral:lncRNA from 1 species